rnacentral:rRNA from 1 species
GGGGGCGGCUAAACCUGCAGUUGAGCGCUGAAGGUUGGUACUUGUACCGACUGGAUGAGCAGCGAACGGGUGAGUAACGCGGGGGGAAUCUGCCUUUGAGCGGGGGACAACAUUUGGAAACGAAUGAUAAUACCGAAUAAAAACUUUAAACACAAGUUUUAAGUUUGAAAGAUGCAGUUGCGUCACUCAAAGAUGAUCCCGCGUUGGAUUAGCUAGUUGGUGAGGUAAAGGCUCACCAAGGCGAUGAUACAUCGCCGACCUGAGAGGGUGAUCGGCCACAUUGGGACUGACACACGGCCCAAACUCCUACGGGAGGCAGCAGUAGGGAAUCUUCUGCAAUGGACGAAAGUCUGACCGAGCAACGCCGCGAGAGUGAAGAAGGUUUUCGGAUCGGAAAACUCUGUUGGUAGAUAAGAACGUUGGUGAGAGUGGAAAGCUCAUCAAGUGACGGUCACUACCACAGAAAGGGACGGCUAACUACGUGCCAACAGCCGCGGUAAUACGUCGGUCCCGAGAGUUGUCCGGAUUUAUUGGGCGUAAAGCGAGCGCAGGUGGUUUAUUAAGUCUGGUGUAAAACGCCAGUGGCUCCACCCAUUGUAUGCCUUGGAAACUGGGAUACUUGAGUGCAGAAUAGGAAGAGUGGAAAUCCAUGUGUAGCGCUGAAAUGCGUAGAAUAUAUGGAGGAACACCGGUGGCAACAGCGGCUUCUCUGGCCUGUUCUUGACACUGAGGCUCAAAAGCAUGCGGAGCAAACAGGAUUACAUACCCUGGUAGUCCACGCCGUAGACGAUGAGUGCUACAAUGUAGGGAGCUAUAUUUUCUCUGUUUCGCACCUAACGGCAUAAGCACUCCCCCUGGGGAGUCCCGACCGGGAAGGUUGAACCUCAAAGGGAAAUUGACCGGGGGCCCUUCACAAGGCGGUGGAGCAAGGGGUUUAAUUCGAAGCAACGCGAAGAACCUUACCAGGUCUUGACAUACUCGUGCUAUUCCUAGAUAUAGGAAGAUCCUUCGGCACUCGGGAUACAGGUGGUGCAUGGUUGUCGUCAGCUCGUGUCGUGAGAUGUUGGGUUAAGUCCCGCAACGAGCGCAACCCCUAUUGUUAGUUGCCAUCAUUAAGUUGGGCACUCUAACGAGACUGCCGGUGAUAAACCGGAGGAAGGUGGGGAUGUCGUCAAAUCAUCAUGCCCCUUAUGACCUGGGCUACACACGUGCUCCAAUGGAUGGUACAACGAGUCGUGAGACAGUGAUGUUUAGCUAAUCUCUUAAAACCAUUCUCCUUUCGGAUUGUAGGCUGCAACUCGCCUACAUGAAGUCGGAAUCGCUAGUAAUCGCGGAUCAGCACGCCGCGGUGAAUACGUUCCCGGGCCUUGUACACACCGCCCGUCACACCGCGGGAGUUGGGAGUACCCGAAGUAGGUGGCGCGUAACCGCAAGGAGGGCAGCUUCCUUAUAGAAGGGUUUCCC